rnacentral:rRNA from 1 species
GAUGAACGCUGGCGGCGUGCCUAAUACAUGCAAGUCGAGCGAACGGACGAGAAGCUUGCUUCUCUGAUGUCAGCGGCGGACGGGUGAGUAACACGUGGAUAACCUACCUAUAAGACUGGGAUAACUUCGGGAAACCGGAGCUAAUACCGGAUAAUAUUUUGAACCGCAUGGUUCAAAAGUGAAAGACGGUCUUGCUGUCACUUAUAGAUGGAUCCGCGCUGCAUUAGCUAGUUGGUAAGGUAACGGCUUACCAAGGCAACGAUGCAUAGCCGACCUGAGAGGGUGAUCGGCCACACUGGAACUGAGACACGGUCCAGACUCCUACGGGAGGCAGCAGUAGGGAAUCUUCCGCAAUGGGCGAAAGCCUGACGGAGCAACGCCGCGUGAGUGAUGAAGGUCUUCGGAUCGUAAAACUCUGUUAUUAGGGAAGAACAUAUGUGUAAGUAACUGUGCACAUCUUGACGGUACCUAAUCAGAAAGCCACGGCUAACUACGUGCCAGCAGCCGCGGUAAUACGUAGGUGGCAAGCGUUAUCCGGAAUUAUUGGGCGUAAAGCGCGCGUAGGCGGUUUUUUAAGUCUGAUGUGAAAGCCCACGGCUCAACCGUGGAGGGUCAUUGGAAACUGGAAAACUUGAGUGCAGAAGAGGAAAGUGGAAUUCCAUGUGUAGCGGUGAAAUGCGCAGAGAUAUGGAGGAACACCAGUGGCGAAGGCGACUUUCUGGUCUGUAACUGACGCUGAUGUGCGAAAGCGUGGGGAUCAAACAGGAUUAGAUACCCUGGUAGUCCACGCCGUAAACGAUGAGUGCUAAGUGUUAGGGGGGUUCCGCCCCUUAGUGCUGCAGCUAACGCAUUAAGCACUCCGCCUGGGGAGUACGACCGCAAGGUUGAAACUCAAAGGAAUUGACGGGGACCCGCACAAGCGGUGGAGCAUGUGGUUUAAUUCGAAGCAACGCGAAGAACCUUACCAAAUCUUGACAUCCUUUGACAACUCUAGAGAUAGAGCUUUCCCCUUCGGGGGACAAAGUGACAGGUGGUGCAUGGUUGUCGUCAGCUCGUGUCGUGAGAUGUUGGGUUAAGUCCCGCAACGAGCGCAACCCUUAAGCUUAGUUGCCAUCAUUAAGUUGGGCACUCUAAGUUGACUGCCGGUGACAAACCGGAGGAAGGUGGGGAUGACGUCAAAUCAUCAUGCCCCUUAUGAUUUGGGCUACACACGUGCUACAAUGGACAAUACAAAGGGCAGCGAAACCGUGAGGUCAAGCAAAUCCCAUAAAGUUGUUCUCAGUUCGGAUUGUAGUCUGCAACUCGACUACAUGAAGCUGGAAUCGCUAGUAAUCGUAGAUCAGCAUGCUACGGUGAAUACGUUCCCGGGUCU